UGGCACCAAGAUGGCAGCUUGAACGGUCGUGUUUUUUCAGGAGCUCCGAAAGACCGCAAAAUUUGCUAAGGAACUUUAUUCUCUUUCCACUCGAAUUACAACUAUGGAUGCCCAAAAGGUUAUUAAGAAUGCAAAGCUGCAAUUUGUGCCGUCAAACCCCAAUGUUAAGACGUCUUCGCAUGCUAAAGUCAGUGACCAUGGCUAUGCUAGCACUGAAGCUGCCAACGUGAGCCUAAACAAGCGAGAACGGGGAGCAGACUCUGCGCCGCCAACUCCAUCAAAACAACCGCCGGAGGAGAAAAGAACAAAAUCUUCAGAGAAGGAAGAUGAUAUCUCCAAUAAAACUAUUUUUGAAGCCAUUCUGGGACUUGAGAAGAAAUUUGAAGUACAACUGGAAGAUAUCAAGGAACAAAACAGACAAAGUGCAGCUAUGGUUGCCAGCUUGGCUAAGGCUGUGGAGUUUAAUGCUGCAGAGAUAGUUGAUUGCAAACUGAAAGUUGUUAAACUGGCAAAUGCGAAUGAACAGCUGCUUAAAGAAAACGAAGACUUGAAAAGAAGAGUGAGAGAACAAGAGCGCUACCGAAUGAGGUGGUGCUUAAAGCUGAAAGGGGUGAAGGAAGACAAAGACGAAAACAUUAGAGUGAAGGUUUUGCAAACGCUUCCAACACGUUCUCACUCCCAACUCGUCAAAUGUGUGACGCAUGGUCAGGCUCCCUCUGCUUCACUUAUCGACGCGCAGGGUACCCCCCUCGCGUCGAGAAUUGACGUGCAGGGUCCUCCUAUUGAACACUAUGCUGCUCCCUAAUCGUUGUUUAUUGACGACAAGAGAUUGCCGCGGAAGAGCCUGUUGUCCGUAUAUUUAUACAUUUCCGAAAUCACAUUGUAGUGACGUGUACUAAACACAAUAUAUUAUAUAAUGUAAACAACUACCUGAGAAACAGCAGAUACAGCAGCUAAAUUAAUUAUAGGCCAUUACUUUUGUAUCGUUUAUUGCAUUUAUGGAGGGAGUGGUGCAUGCUGGGUAAUGGCACAGCUAGCGACCGGGUGACUUUAUUCACCCGCUUCGGCUGCUAUCGGUCCAUACAAUGGGCGUUAUUAGCAGAAAUCAGUCCCAUAGAUAUGGGCCAUCCACCUGCUAGAUUGUUCAGAAGGUUGUUAUCAUCCAUCCAGAUGGAGGAUCACUGACAGGAGCGUGGAAGACUCCAGAAUCCACUCUGGCUGGAAUCCGGUGCAGUGUUACAGAACAGUUCUCCACAGUCGCUGUCCACAUGGGUCAGUGGGACCAAGCAGCACUCUGCUAAUGUGUGGACUCUGACCAGCAACAUCCAGCAAGACCCAGGCAGUGUUUUCUAUCUCCCAGCUGGAGUUUUUUGUUUGUCUGUGACUGGAGAGUCAGAUUUUUGUUGAAGCUGGAGGAACAGCCUCACACUUGCAGAGUGACUGCUGCUUAGACCACAGGUUAAUACACGCUACUGAUCCCUGAUGGGAGAAUCAUCACCUCUGCCAACAAAGAAGCCUGGUGGAUAUUUGUUUACAGACUGAUGAUGGGACAUCAUGCUCUGCAUAUUCAAAGUUUGUCUCUUGAUUAUUAUUCGUACACAGUAAUGUGAAUUAUGCUUAUAUCUAGUAUAACUGGACCAACCUGGUGCUCUUCAUUUCUGGAGGCUGUUGAGUCUGAAUGUUGGAUGUUGUGUAUCUCGUGUUCUCUGGGCUUUGUUGUCCUCAGUCUUUUUGCAGGAUCAGAAAACAAAACCAGGAUGACCGUAAAUGUUUCUUCUCCAAUUGGAUGAUGAUAAGACCGUGACACGGUAUGCCACCUUUAGUCUUGUGAUGAAGCAAAGCUCAGGAAGAAGUGUGAUUAAAUGGUACCCACAUGUGUGCUGCUGAGAAGGAUGUACAGGGGUAUCUGCAGCCAAAUCCAAGCCUCCUCAGAGCAGAGCAGCAGUUUGUGCUCACAGAUGGUGACGGUGUGGAGAGACGGUGGUGUUUCCUCAGAAGAACUAGCAGAGUCACCAAGGGCACGAGUCCAUCUCACCACCUUGACUUGCUGACUGAUGCUCGUCUGCACUGCACAGAGGAAAUCAACUGACCGAGGAGUGUUUCUGAGUGAGGGAGAGAGGAGUCAUCAUCCAGGUGAAGUGACGUGGAUCAGUGGAUACACUUGUCUCCCCUUUAAAGGAGACACUCUUAGAGAGAGACGAUCCGAGACAUCCCUAAAUAUGAGCAGGAUAUCAGUCUUGGACUGUGUAACCUGCAGGAGCAGCACUGAAUGAUCACCACACAUGAGCAUGUUCCUGCAACAUUCAGCAGCUUUGCUUUUGUGUCAAAUGUCAAACAGCUGGAGAGGAAACUAAACCAGUACUGGGAUGUUUCACCAACACGUGCCAGAUGCUGUUCCUUCAUGGUUUCAUCACCAGAGACAGCCCCGCCCACCUCAGGACCUCGCCAUUGAUCAUGAUGAUUAUAAUAAUGACAGCGAGCAGAACUAAGACUGUAAAAAUCCACGACCAGAAUGUUUAGAUGCUUUCUAAUUAUUAAUGAAUACUGAGAGCCUCUUUCUGUGUUUUGGGUUUUUUUUUUUACCUCAUUUGUUACUAACAAAGUUCAUCAAACUCACACAGUUUACAUUCUGUAUGUUUCCAUCUUUACCAGCCACACUCUACCUGCAAUUAGAAAACAAACCUUAGAAAUCGUCGUUUUUCUCUUUUGUAAUUGAUGAUAAUUCAGUGAAUAUACUGCGCUGCUUCCUUUUAUUGCGUCACACAUUGCUUUAAGUUUUUCAGUGUCCAGUUAUUUUUUACUGCUGUUUGAAUUCACUGUAUGUUUGACCUUGUAGACUGUUUGAUGGACUGCUUGUCUUCCUGUUUGUAACCGCCGCCUGUUUUUGACUAAAGAUUUGGAUUCUGACUUUAA